CGGCGACCGGCGCACGGGUGCGUAACGCGUAUGCAACCUACCCAUUACAGGGGGAUAACAUUGAGAAAUCGAUACUAAUACCCCAUAACAUCUCCGAAGGCAUCUUCGGGGGUUGAAAACUCCGGUGGUAAUGGAUGGGCAUGCGUUGUAUUAGUUAGUUGGUGAGGUAACGGCUCACCAAGACAACGAUACAUAGGGGGACUGAGAGGUUAACCCCCCACAUUGGUACUGAGACACGGACCAA
rnacentral:rRNA from 1 species